AACGCACGAGACCUGCGGACCUGCGGAAGGAUCAUUACCGAGUUUACAACUCCCAAACCCAAUGUGAACCAUACCAAACUGUUGCCUCGGCGGGGUCACGCCCCGGGUGCGUCGCAGCCCCGGAACCAGGCGCCCGCCGGAGGGACCAACCAAACUCUUUUCUGUAGUCCCCUCGCGGACGUUAUUUCUUACAGCUCUGAGCAAAAAUUCAAAAUGAAUCAAAACUUUUAGCAAUGGAUC
rnacentral:misc_RNA from 1 species